rnacentral:rRNA from 1 species
CGAUGAUACGCGAACGAACCUUACCAGGUCUUGACAUCCCCCGCCGAUGCUUUAGAGAUAAAGACGGAGGUAGUUCGGGGAGACAGGUGGUGCAUGGUUGUCGUCAGCUCGUGUCGUGAGAUGUUGGGUUAAGUCCCGCAACGAGCGCAACCCUCGCCCUUAGUUGCCAGCAUUUAGUUGGGCACUCUAAGGGGACUGCCGGUGAUAAGCCGAGAGGAAGGUGGGGAUGACGUCAAGUCCUCAUGGCCCUUACGGGCUGGGCUACACACGUGCUACAAUGGUGGUGACAGUGGGCAGCGAGCACGCGAGUGUAAGCUAAUCUCCAAAAGCCAUCUCAGUUCGGAUUGCACUCUGCAACUCGAGUGCAUGAAGUUGGAAUCGCUAGUAAUCGCGGAUCAGCAUGCCGCGGUGAAUACGUUCCCGGGCCUU